GCGCGCCCUGCGGAGUCGUGCCGUACUGCGUGCUGCGGACGCGGCAGGGCCGCUUCUGCGUGGAGCUGACAACAGCUAUGAUGAACGCCUCAGUCCUGUGCUAUGCAAAUCGAGUGAAAAACAUCAAGAACAAGUCCUGUAUCACGGAUGCUCUGCUGAGGGAUAUCAGGAGGAGAUUAAGAAGCUGAAGGCCAUUCUAGCUGAAGAAAUGAAUGUGAAUAAUUUGUCAGGGCUUCCACCUGCCGAGGCUGCUCACUUGGAAGGGAAGCCAGCUCUCCUCCUGAUGUUGAAGCAGAGAAGCAGCUGAUCAGAGAACUGCUGUGAAUUCUGAGACUAAUCCUACUGAGACACCUUUGCCUGAAGACUCCUGCUGCAGCAGAUGAAGAACUGACAUCAGUCAAGGUUCCCUGCAGUCCACUUCUCCCUCCCAGGCUGAAGAGACCCAGGACUCAGCAGUGCCUCAAGCUGUGCGAGGUGCUGGCGAUGGGAACGCCGGAGUGGAGGAGCUGUCAUACCAGAAGGGACUUCAGCCCCUGUGGAGCAGCAGCAGGUGCUUGCCAGCUCAGUGGCUGCUUCUGAUAACUGCCUCCUGUUGCACACAGGCAACAAGCAAUCACAGAAUCACAGAAUUGUAGGGGUUGGAAGAGUCCUCCAGAGAUCAUCGAGUCCAACCCCCCUGCCAAAGCAGGUUCCCUACUUUUGUCUUUCCAUCUUGCUGGACCCUGCCAGCAGUCACUGCUGGCUGUCCUGAAUCCUGCUUGCACAGCAGCAUGACUGCUCAACUUCAGCUAUGUGUUCUGUGCAGUGCAAAAUCAAGCAGAUGCACAUUCUUUAUCCCCAAAUUAACUGUGUCCAUUUGGAGCAGACAAAUAGCUGCUAGGUGCAGUACUCUGAUGCCUAAUGCCAUAAUGAUGAACUCUCAUUGAGAGUUCUCCUGAGAGACUCUCCAUUGUCACUGAGAUCACUAUCACUUCUGCCUUUAAUUCAUGCAUCUGAGAGUACCUGCAAGACUUCAGCCAGAGCUGGCAUUAAAAUUGCCUGGGAACAAAAUGUUAUUGGCAGCAUUAGACCCGGGGCCUGAAUCUCAUGGCUGGGGUGUGAGGGGUGCAGGGUCACAUCUCCAUGUCGCUGAUCUCUGUCAGCUCCCAUGAGACACGCUCACUGUGAUGGGCCUCUCCCACUGCAAAAGGAGCUAUUAACAAAUCUAGGAUAGCACUGUCUGCAAUUUGUGAGGAGUUGUGUCUGUUGAUGGAGAUGGCUCCAAAGAAACCAUUUGUUUUGACGGUAUAUCAAAUUUUAAUAGUCUUAGUGCCUGAAGUUUUUCUUCCUGUGAUAAGGGAGGAAAAAUGCCAACUGCAUUGUUAAAAUCAGAGUUGGCUGCAGAUUAGGCAGGAGGGUUUGAUUCCACAGGUGUGGAAUUUUCAAUGUCACCUUUUAAAUGCUUUAUACCACAGGGUGGCUGAGAGUCAGCAGAGCAGGAUUCAGUCCUGCAUUAAGCAAACAAAACUGAAAGCUUUGGCAACUGCAGGGAAGUAGAAUAGCAGGUCAUCUCUGGUGGAGAAUGAGUUCUUUCUGAUGGGUUUGAAGAUCAUUAAGAGGCUAUUAUCAGUACAGGCUUUAUCAGCAGUAGGAUUUUCUCCAAUCUGAGUCGGUGCUGGUGAGCCUGACCUGUUUGCCUUGAUACAGAUGUCAGUGCAGACAAAGAGAGCAGCUAGCAGCUCAGGAGUUCAGUGUGCCUUGUCUGAAGAGGCAUCAGCUGCACCAGGAAGGGGUGCCUGGAGUUGUUUGCCACACCAGUGCAGUGGCACAAGGGGCGAGCAGCCUGGGAUCUGAAUUCACACCAGAGAUUAGCAGAACGCCUGCACUCAGCACUCUGUUGAAUAUUUAUCUCCCUUCCAGGAGUUUUACUGCUGGUGUAAGAUUGCCAGGACUAAAUCACUUUUGCCCUUAAGAAGUCAGGCUGGUGCACACCCAGACUGGCAUAAAGGGAACACUGCUAUGUUUGUCGAAGAGUCUGCAGUGUUCCAUUGUGCCUCAGGCUACCUACAAACCCCUUGCCUGCUUGGAUAGUCACAGUGCUGUGAGAACAGCAGUCCUGACUCCUGCAGGGCUUGCUUCACACCCAUGUCAGUGUGUGGGGCUGUGCAGUGUGAGUGUGAGAUAAGCUUGGUUUAAAACAUGGGCCUGUGCCUGCACACAGGUGGCUAUGCUGAGGUAGCCCACAUCAUUUAAUCCAUCUGAUAGUACUGCUCCAAAGAAGAAACUAUAUUAUCGCUUACAGCCUUACCACUGCAACAUCUGCCAUUUGAAAUAUAUUUGCAUCAUUUCAGCACCUCCUGUGCUUGCUCUGAGAGCCUUUCCAAACGAGAAAUAAUAAUUGAAAUAUAAAUUCCACAUUGGAAUUUAUAUAUUGGAGUUUAUUAAAAACAUUGGGUUUUUUUUUAAAUAAAAAAGCAAUUCUGUGCAUGUAGACACACUCUCAGUUGCACUUGUUAUUCUGAUCACCUUUGUCGUCAUGUUUCUGACAUGUAUACUCACACGGAGUUCAUAUAUAGCAAACUGUUAUGACACGUGGAAUUUGCCAGGAUUACUCGGGACAGCAAAUCUCCCAAGGAGUCGCUAUUUCUGUAUGGUGUUGUCUCAAGCAUCGUUCAGGUACAGAAGUUCAUCCUUCACAGCUACACAAAUGCUUCCUUGUAAUGCUCAGCAAACAGAAGCACCAGAACAAGUGGUAAGGGGGGAAGAGGCUGAAAACAAGGACCUCAAGGAGAAGCGUAACAUUGGAAAAAGUUUGCAGAUGAGCAGAGGAUGCGGCUAUGCUGCAGAAAUUUGAUGAUGACAGCAGUGAUUUGGUUCUUCUUAAUGUCCAGGAGGAGGUUUGAGCCUAGAGCAAACUUCUGCAGAAGAUGCAGAAGAAGGUGAGCCUGCAAAAACAGUUCCCUGUUUCCAAUUCGGGGAGCAUUCACUGGGAUUAUUCUCAGGAUGGCUUUUUCACUCCUUAGUUCCACACUUCCUCAACCAUUUUCCCUUCUCUGCUUAUCCGUUUUUUAAUGUUAAUGAGAUACCUUAGGGUAGUAUAUUUACAGAAUGAUGGCACCUGUGUCUAACAUGCCAUGUGUGCAUGCGUUAGUACCUACGAUGUUGAUUAGACCCAGAGAAUUUCUGGAGUGGGAAGGGACCCACAGGGAUCACCGAGUCCAGCUCCACUGCACGCAUUUUUAGGAACUGCUGGAACAAACUUGCUCCACGACUCCAGCGUUCUCAAACUCCCCCCCGUCCCCAAGGGUUUUAAAAGCUGGCUGCCUUGUUGUGUAGCAGGACACCGAGAGGAGCUUGUCUGUUAUGGGAGAGGAUGCGACUCCCUCCACUG